rnacentral:rRNA from 1 species
CUCCGUAGGUGAACCUGCGGAGGGAUCAUUACUGAGUACUACACUCUCUACCCUUUGUGAACUAUUAUACCUGUUGCUUCGGCGGCGCCCGCGAGGGCGCCCGCCGGUCUCAUCAGAAUCUCUGUUUUCGAACCCGACGAUACUUCUGAGUGUUCUUAGCGAACUGUCAAAACUUUUAACAACGGAUCUCUUGGCUCCAGCAUCGAUGAAGAACGCAGCGAAACGCGAUAUGUAAUGUGAAUUGCAGAAUUCAGUGAAUCAUCGAAUCUUUGAACGCACAUGGCGCCUUCCAGUAUCCUGGGAGGCAUGCCUGUCCGAGCGUCGUUUCAACCCUCGAGCCCCCGUGGCCCGGCGUUGGGGAUCUGCCACGGCAGGCCCCUAAAACCAGUGGCGGACCCGAAGGGCCCUCUCCUUUGCGCAGUAGCAUCAGCCUCGCAUCGGGAGUCCUCGGCGUCCUGCCUCUAAACCCCCUACAAGCCCGCCUCGGCGGCACCAAGGUUGACCUCGGAUCAGGUAGGAAUACCCGCUGAACUUAAGCAUAUCAAUAAGCGGAGGAA